GUCUCUAGUCCAGUGCUAGAUCACAUGACAGAAAGUCAUGUGCUCCGCGGUUCGAAUCCGCGCGGGGGACU